rnacentral:rRNA from 1 species
GAUGAACGCUGGCGGCGUGCCUAAUACAUGCAAGUCGAGCGAACAGACGAGGAGCUUGCUCCUCUGACGUUAGCGGCGGACGGGUGAGUAACACGUGGAUAACCUACCUAUAAGACUGGGAUAACUUCGGGAAACCGGAGCUAAUACCGGAUAAUAUAUUGAACCGCAUGGUUCAAUAGUGAAAGACGGUUUUGCUGUCACUUAUAGAUGGAUCCGCGCGGCAUUAGCUAGUUGGUAAGGUAACGGCUUACCAAGGCAACGAUGCGUAGCCGACCUGAGAGGGUGAUCGGCCACACUGGAACUGAGACACGGUCCAGGCUCCUACGGGAGGCAGCAGUAGGGUAUCUUCCGCAAUGGGCGGAAGCCUGACGGAGCAACGCCGCGUGAGUGAUGAAGGUCUUCGGAUCGUAAAACUCUGUUAUUAGGGAAAAACAAAUGUGUAAGUAACUGUGCACGUAUUGACGGUACCUGAUCAGAAAGCCACGGCUAACUACGUG